rnacentral:rRNA from 1 species
AUGGCCGCGCAGCGCUCCGGCGCGGGGGGCGUGGCCGCCGGCGACGACGACGCGGACCGAGCCCGGCUGCGCCAGCUCGGCUACAAGCAGGAGCUCAAGCGCGGCCUCGGCGUGGUCUCCAACUUCGCCUUCUCCUUCUCCAUCAUCUGCGUCAUGGCCGGCGUCACCACCACGUACAACGCCGGCCUGAGGUACGGCGGGCCGGCGUCCAUGACCCUCGGCUGGCUGGUGGUGGCCUUCUUCAACGGCUGCGUCGCCCUGUCCAUGGCGGAGAUCUGCUCGGCCUACCCGACCUCCGGCGGGCUCUACUACUGGAGCGCCAAGCUCGCCGGCGAAGAGUGGGCGCCUCUUGCUUCCUGGAUCACCGGCUGGUUCAACCUUGUGGGCCAGUGGGCUCUCACCACCAGCACGGACUUCUCGCUGGUGCAGCUUGUCCAAGUGAUCAUCUUGCUUGGCACCGGUGGAGCCAACGGUGGCGGCUACAUGGCCUCCAAGUACGUUGUUCUGGCCGUCCACGGCUCCCUCCUCGUCCUGCACGGGCUCAUCAACAGCCUCCCCAUCCGGUGGUUGUCCUGGUUCGGCCACCUCGGUGCAUUUUGGAACACUGCAGGUGCCUUUGUCCUGGUGAUCAUGAUUCCGGUUGUUGCCAAGGAAAGAGCGAGUGUUGAGUUCAUCUUUACACAUUUCAACACGGACAAUGGCAUGGGGAUCCAUGACAAGGCCUACAUUUUGGCGCUAGGGCUUCUAACGAGCCAAUACUCAUUGCUCGGCUAUGAUGCAUCGGCUCACAUGAUUGAGGAAACGAAGAACGCGGAUUGGAGUGGUCCGAUCGGGAUCAUCACAUCCGUUGCUCUCUCGACCGUGUUUGGUUGGAUCUUCCUUGUGGCUCUAACAUCCAUUGUGACGAACAUACCAUACCUGCUAGACCCUGGCAAUGAUGCUGCCGGGUACGCCGUUGCGCAAGCGCUUUACACUGCCUUCCACCGAAGGUAUGGCAGUGGGGUUGGAGGGCUCGUCUGCACAGGCAUCGUCGCGUUCGGCAUCUUCCUCGCGGGUGUCGCGUGUGUCGCCAGCAAUUCAAGGAUGGGCUAUGCCUUUUCGAGGGACAAGGCGAUGCCCUUCUCGCACGUGUGGCACCGGGUGAGCAGGAACGAGGUGCCUCUCAAUGUUGUGUGGCUCUGUGUGGUUGUCGCCUUCAUAAUGGCUCUCACGGUGCGUAAUACCUCUGCCAUCUCGAUCUCGACUCGAAGCACCAAACCUUUACAACAUGAACGCAUGAUUCGUGUCAAGGACUUGCUACCACACCUAAAAUUUCACGUUCCUAUUUUUGUGUGUGUUUCUUGUCUUCGUAUGCAGUCUCUCGGAAGCCAGGUGGCAUUCCAAGCAAUGGUGUCGAUUGCGACACUAGGGCAGUACAUCUCCUACGUGCUACCCAUCUUCUUCCGUGUGACGACGGCCCGGAGGUCAUUCAGCCCAGGGCCAUUCCACCUAGGGAGGUACAGUAUUGUCAUCGGCUGGGCAGCAGUCCUCUGGGUGGCCUUGCUCACCGUGCUCUUCUCAUUGCCUGUGGCGUACCCAAUCGCCAAGGACAACUUCAACUACACGCCGGUGGCCGUCGGUGGUGUGCUACUGCUCAGUGUCGGCUCAUGGGUGCUCCAUGCCCGGUUCUGGUUCAAAGGACCCAUAGUAAAUGUUGACAUGUAG